GUGGGCAUAUAAAUGUAUAGCACUAUUAAGCAAUAAAGAUUAGGCCAGGCAAAAAAAUACAAUUUUGUCAGUUAAUUUAAAGUUAGCAAACUGUUUAUUAAUGUCUGUUACAACAGUCUUACAUACAGUGUUCUCCCCAGGCCGUUUUAGCGUCGCGGUACCGCGACGCUAUAUUUUCUUCCCGUGACGCUAUAAUAAUAUCCGCGACGCUAUAAUAAUUUCCGCGACGCUAUAAUUAUUUUCAGGAUGUUAUUUUUC
rnacentral:lncRNA from 1 species